UACGUAGGGGACAAGCGUUAUCCGGAUUUAUUGGGCGUAAAGCGUGUGUAGGCUGUUUAUUAAGUUUAAGAUUAAAGCCCGAGGCUCAACCUCGGUUCGUCUUAAAAACUGGUAGACUUGAGUAUGAUAGAGGCAAAUGGAAUUUCUAGUGUAGCGGUAAAAUGCGUAGAUAUUAGAAGGAACACCAGUGGCGAAAGCGAUUUGCUGGGUCAUUACUGACGCUGAGACACGAAAGCGUGGGGAGCAAAUAGGAUUAGAUACCCUAGUAGUCCACGCCGUAAACGAUGAGUACUAAGUGUCGGGUAACCGGUGCUGAAGUUAACACAUUAAGUACUCCGCCUGAGUAGUACGGUCGCAAGACUGAA
rnacentral:rRNA from 1 species